UAUUUCGGCUAUAUCCACUUAAUGAUGAAAAAUGUUGCUGGCAAACAAAAGUUGAACAGAAAAAAAUAUCCACCAGCCAUCAAGCAAGAAUACGUUCGAAACCAUUAAAAUGUAUGGUCAUUACAGUCACAAAUUACAGCUUAUUAACGUAAUGCAGACAAAAUGUAAGAUGUAUAUUGAUGUAGUGUUUCAUAUAAAUCAACCAUCUGAUAAUAAAAUCCAUCAAAUUCUCAACAAAUUAUUUAAAAUUAUGCAUAAUUCCCACAGAUUACUGCUACCAUUUACAUAAAUCAACAAAUGCACCAACUAGUCUGUCAGUUCCGACAUAAUAUUCGCCCACAAAAUUCGAGAGAACUAAAAAACUAUUAUUAUUAUGAUCAACAAUUUGAUCGAAUUAUAGAGUCGAAGAUUAAUGUAAUGUUAAAGCCACAACAACAACUUAUAACACAGCCGUAUACAAGCAAGAGUGAUGUUUUGUUCAGCCUACGCGAAUCGACGGUUAAAAUUUCAAGAGUGAUCAAAGUUAGAGCUCAGGAGAUGAAUCUAUGUGCCGAUAACUUGUUGAAAAGGAGCAUAGAGGUGGACGAUGCAUUUAUUUUCAUUGAGAAAUGGAGCUAAAUUUUACCUUUAUCUUUAAAUGAUUAAAAUAUUUUUUGUGAAUAAAUCGGGAAUUA